rnacentral:rRNA from 1 species
UCCGUAGGUGAACCUGCGGAAGGAUCAUUGUUGAGACCCGAACGGACGACCGCGAACCCGUAAAUGCUCCCGCAUGGGCAGAGGGAGGGCGGAUAUUCCGACUGCCCAACCCCAUACCUCGGGGCUCAAUGGCUGCCCCCGCCCCGCAUCGCUGUGGGACGGGCGGUUGGAAUAACACCUGGCACUGUGGGCGCCAAGGAACAAUGCUGUCGGAGAGCGCGCCGGUGUCGGCGCACAACGCGGUCUUUCCAUACGUCGAACUUUUACGACUCUCGGUAACAGAUAUUUUGGCUCUCGCAUUGAUGAUGAACGUAGCGAAAUGUGAUACUUUGUGUGAACUGCAGAAUCCCGUGAACCAUCAAGUCUUUGAACGCAAGUUGCACCCGAGGCUAUCCGGCCAAGGGCACGCCUGCCUGGGCGUCACGCCUCGCGUCGCUCCGCGUACCCUGUCCCCCGUCUUGGGGAGGCGGCGGGUACAGAUGCGGAGAUUAGCCCCCCAUGCCUAACGGCGCAGUGGGUUGAAGUGCAUGCUGCCGGCCGGGACGGACACGGCGAGUAGUGGAUGGACACGUACAACGCUCAACGUCGCCUCUGCCCCCGGCCUCGGAGGUGCAUGCAAGGAACCCACGCCGAGCACUCGUCGGAACACGACCCCAGGUCAGGCGGGGCCACCCGCUGAGCUUAAGCAUAUCAAUAAGCGGAG